ACAGGGUAUUGCCCUAGUAACGGCGAGUGAAGCGGCAACAGCUCAAAUUUGAAAUCUGGCUCUUUUAGAGUCCGAGUUGUAAUUUGCAGAGGGCGCUUUGGCUUUGGCAGCGGUCCAAGUUCCUUGGAACAGGACGUCACAGAGGGUGAGAAUCCCGUACGUGGUCGCUGGCUAUUGCCGUGUAAAGCCCCUUCGACGAGUCGAGUUGUUUGGGAAUGCAGCUCUAAAUGGGAGGUACAUUUCUUCUAAAGCUAAAUAUUGGCCAGAGACCGAUAGCGCACAAGUAGAGUGAUCGAAAGAUGAAAAGCACUUUGGAAAGAGAGUCAAACAGCACGUGAAAUUGUUGAAAGGGAAGCGCUUGCAGCCAGACUUGCUUACAGUUGCUCAUCCGGGUUUCUACCCGGUGCACUCUUCUGUAGGCAGGCCAGCAUCAGUUUGGGCGGUAGGAUAAAGGUCUCUGUCACGUACCUCCUUUCGGGGAGGCCUUAUAGGGGAGACGACAUACUACCAGCCUGGACUGAGGUCCGCGCAUCUGCUAGGAUGCUGGCGUAAUGGCUGUAAGCGGCCCGUCUUGAAACACGGACCAAGGAGUCUAACAUCUAUGCGAGUGUUUGGGUGUCAAGCCCGAGCGCGUAAUGAAAGUGAACGGAGGUGGGAACCCGCAAGGGUGCACCAUCGACCGAUCCUGAUGUCUUCGGAAGGAUUUGAGUAAGAGCAUGGCUGUUGGGACCCGAAAGAUGGUGAACUAUGCUUGAAUAGGGUGAAGCCAGAGGAAACUCUGGUGGAGGCUCGCAGCGGUUCUGACGUGCAAAUCGAUCGUCAAAUUUGGGCAUAGGGGCGAAAGACUAAU
rnacentral:rRNA from 1 species